AAACAUUUACUUACUUUACAGUCUUUACAAGAUUCUUCAGCUGCUGAACAUCUGAAUCCUUCAGGUUGUUUCCUCCCAGGUCCAGUUCUGUCAGACGGGUCGGGUUGGACUUCAGAGUUGAGGCCAAAUAAUAACAGCUGAUCUUUGACAAACUGCUGUUAAACAACCUGAAUAAAGAAUAAAAGAUGUGAGCUGAAGCCAACAGGAUGCAGGUUAAAACUGAAAUAUGAACAAAUAAUAAAAAUGUAGAAAAUUAAUUUCCCUGAAUGUAAAAGAAACAUGAUGAACUGAUUCUAACAUCUGAUCCAGUCAAACUGGUUUAAAGAGUCCAAACCAGCAGAACCAGAACAUUUGAUCAAUAAAGAAACUCAAAGUUUUUCUAAAAGUUUCUCAGGAUCUUAAACUCAGUCGAUGUUUUUCUCUCUCCAUGUUUCCUUCCAGGCUCUGUAUUAGCCGACUGCUCUGUACCAUCAUUUAUCUACUGAGAUAUUUUAUGUCUCCAGUUUUUGUUCAUUAAUCUAUUAAUGAUGUUUUCUUGCUGGUUGUAUUUUAACUGCAGCUCAUUGCUAAGUAUAACAGAUGUAAACGGGUUUAUUUCAAUCCGUCUAAUUCAGCGUUUUACAAUAUCCAUUACAGCUCACAUUCUGAAAGUUGAUCAUUUUCUCAUUUUGUGCUGAUUCAGUUACUGAACUAUCAACUAGAAAAUAUUUAGCCUUUUCUCUGUCAGAUUGAUUUGGGUCAUUUAGUUCAAGUUCUGAAUCCUUCAUCAGAGACGGCUGCAGAAAUGGGAACAUUAUCAUAAAGGAUAAACCAGAUUGUGAAGAUGAAUCAUUUUAAAUCUAUUUUCCAGGUAAACCACAUGAGAAUGAUUUCAGUGAACUGCUGAAGCUUGUUGCAUACAAAGCAUUACAAAGGAACUCUGCCAGAAGACUGUGGUCAUCCUGAUAGAGUCUGACUGUCAGAACAAACUCAGAUUUUCCUCUGGAAGCUGCUCUCAGUGGUUUGGAGGACGACUGACUUGGAAUUUGCUCCAUUAGUGGAAUUGACACUAAAAUGGAAACUCAUCACUUGCUUCCAUUUUGUUUUGCUUCCUGCCAACAUCAAACUCCUGCAUGUGCUGCAGCUCCAUAUGAGCAGGCAGUCAAGUCCCCAGAAAGCUUCCCUAUUUCUAGGAACCAUUUCAUCCAGAGUUAGUCGACUUUCUCUGUCCAUCUCUGUCAGACUGUGAAACUUUAGUCUGAGCAUGUGGAGAACCUCUCCUA